rnacentral:rRNA from 1 species
ACGGGGUGCACCAGGGGCGAAACCUCCACAAUGCGCGAAAGCGUGAUGGGGUUACCCCGAGUGCCGUCCGUUGAGGAGGGCUUUUCCUCAGUGUAAGGAGCUGGGGGAAUAAAGGGGGGGCAAGACUGGUGUCAGCCGCCGCGGUAAUACCAGCCCCCUGAGUGAUAGGGACGAUUAUUUAGCCUAAAGUGUCUGUAGCCGGCUUAGUAAGUCUCUCGUUAAAUCUGGCGACUUAAUCGUCCAGGCCGCGGGAGAUACUGCUUGGCUAGAGGGCGGGAGAGGUUGACGGUAUUCCCGGAGUAGGGGUGAAAUCCUAUAAUCCCGGGAGGACUACCAGUGGCGAAGGCGGUCAACUGGAACGCGCCUGACGGUGAUGGACGAAAGCUGGGGGAGCGAACCGGAUUGACACCCGGGUAGUCCCAGCCGUGAGCGAUGCGGGCUAGGUGUUGGUGCAGCUACGGGCUGUACCAGUGCCGCAGAGAAGUUAUUAAGCCCGCCGCCUGGGGAGUACGGUCGCAAGGCUGAAACUUAAAGGAAUUGGCGGGGGAGCAC